GUGGGGAAGCAAUCAGCAAAAUAAUUCUCAAAUAUCGUUGGCGUUAACAUAUGCCAAAUAUUCGAGUACCUGUUUACACACCGCAUCAACUCAAAAUAAACGCGUUAAGCGUAGAAAAGUGUAAAAAGUAAAUAAUGAGAUUCUUUUAUUGUUUGAAUGAUACAUAUAUAAACCAGCUUGGAAUAGAAAGUAAGAAAGUAGGGAAAUCAGCAGAUUUUGGCAUGUUGGAUAAAGGAAUAUAUAAUAAUUGCUGUGUGCUCGUACGUUGAACUACGUCUAGGAGUACAACAAACGAUAACUACUCGCUAAGAUAGGAAAAUGAGUGAAUGGUCAAACUGAUAUUAAACGAUCACAAACCCCCAUAGAUAUUGGUCCUGGAAGACUUAUAUUAAAUUAAGAAAAUCAUUGGGGGGAUAUGCCAUGAUCGCCAAGCUUGACAGACGGGAUCACAAUCGCAGUAAGUUGGUCAUAGUACUCAGAGAGACGCUGCUGCCCGUUCUCUGGUAUAUAUUCCCUCGGGUCGACUUCUACGCCCCCCACGGCUUGCGAGAAGACGUUGGAUGCGGGAAGCGCAAGACCGGCCAAAAUGGAAAUCCUUGGACGCCUUUGUCCCCCAUUUGGAGGAUGAUGAUGAUGAAUUUAAGACAUUUUUGAUAUUUUACUUAAAAGCAAUUGUCACUAAGCAAAUAUUUAUAUCUAUUGUAACCAUUUUCAUUGUAUACUAUCAUUGCUACCUAAUACCUAUUAAUUUAAAAAAAAAAUCAGUAAUUAUAAUAAUCAGUAA